GGAGGAGGAGAAGGAGGGGGGAGGGAAAACACUAAAGGGGGUAGCUAUGGAGAUAGAACGUUUUCCUGGCUGCUUUCUUUGACAGGUGUUGAGUGGGGUAAAAGUCUUAAAACAGAAUCCAGCAUGUACGCCAAAGGUAAAGGAGCUGUCGUCCCUUCUGAUAGUCAAGCGAGAGAAAAGUUAGCUUUAUACGUGUAUGAGUAUUUGCUGCAUGUUGGCGCACAGAAAUCGGCACAGACCUUCCUGUCAGAGAUCCGAUGGGAGAAGAAUAUCACAUUAGGAGAGCCUCCUGGAUUCCUGCACUCAUGGUGGUGGUAUGUAUCGAUCUUGUAACUCAAAACCCCCUAACAUUCUCUGACGGUAUG